rnacentral:lncRNA from 1 species
GAUGAAAGAGAACAUCUUAUGGAAGUCUUAUUUACAUGUCAAAGAUAGUUUUCUAAGUAAAAGUUGUACAAGUGAUCCUUAAACCUGAAACCACUAUGGAAUCUUAUGCACAUGAACUCAUAUUUUGGUUCAUACCUAGGCAUGGCAUUAAGAUUUGUAUGGGAUGUUCUAGAUAUGAUGAAGUAUAUAUGAAGGUUGUGAGUAGGUCAAUAUGGAAUCGAUCACUCCUAAUAAGAGGAGAUCGUAUCCUGUGUAUUCUCAAUCCUAGAUGACUUAAAAAAAAUCUUUUGGC